UACGGAGGGAGCUAGCGUUGUUCGGAAUUACUGGGCGUAAAGCGCACGUAGGCGGCUUUGUAAGUUAGAGGUGAAAGCCCGGACGCUCAACUCCGGAAUUGCCUUUAAGACUGCAUCGCUAGAAUUGUGGAGAGGUGAGUGGAAUUCCGAGUGUAGAGGUGAAAUUCGUAGAUAUUCGGAAGAACACCAGUGGCGAAGGCGACUCACUGGACACAUAUUGACGCUGAGGUGCGAAAGCGUGGGGAGCAAACAGG
rnacentral:rRNA from 1 species